CGGCGGAUGGGCAGUUGUCAACGUUCCCAAGCCACCUGGUGUUGGAGGAUAGUACGUGAGGCAGAGGGGCGGCUGAGGUUGUCUUCAUCGCUGGGGGUGCAUCCGAUCUGUAGGUGAAGUUGAUGCUGGCAGCGGCGCCGGAGGUUGCAGCCAAGGGAUGGUCGUCGACGGCAGGCCGUGGGCGAAGGAGGCAGCCCGUGACUUCUAUAACUGGAAGUAUACGUCUGAGAUGAUGCAGGGCAACAAUAAUGGCAGAUUGAGGAAGAAACGGAUAAAGAAAAAGGGCAACUGGUUCACUGCUAUUUGAAAAUCCAAAGUGGCAGAUGGAAAUUUGAGCUUGAGGAAGAGCACUGAUGGCUGACAUGGCUCACGGACAUGUUUUAGCAUCUCUUCUGUUGCCAACAACUAGCUGUACGCAGAUGAAAUUUUCUUUAUAUGUGUGAUCUCUGACUUCAAGUCGGUUUGGUUGAGUAGAUUUGUAUGUGCAUUUGUGUAUGAACAGAAAAGAUUAUGCCGGAAUAAGGUUACAUGUUUGCAA